AUGACAUGGUUGAGCCUUUGUAUUCCAGUGAUUUUGGACCCACAAUUCAAGUUGAAAUAUAUUGAGUUCCGAUUUGGCCUAGAGUUUGGGAACGAAGCUGCAUCAAUGAUUGCUAAAAUAAAAAAUGUGUUCCAAGGGUUGUUCAAGGAAUACCUCCAAUUGAAUGACAAUGGCUCAGAUCCCAUGUCACAAGGAGGUGAUGAUGACAUGGCUAUAAGUGGUGAAGAUCCUAUGGCUGAUUGGGACCAACAUGUCACCCUCACUGCUCGACUAACAAAUUUGGAUUCUACUGAACUUGAUUCGUACUUGUCAAAGCUAAUACUCAACGUAGCUUGGCUUCAGUUCAUGACAUUUUACUGGACUUACAAGAUAUGA
rnacentral:rRNA from 1 species